AUUGAACGCUGGCGGCAUGCCUUACACAUGCAAGUCGAACGGUAGAAGGGGCAACCCUUCGAGAGUGGCGAACGGGUGAGUAAUGCAUCGGAACGUGCCCAGUUGUGGGGGAUAACACUUCGAAAGAAGUGCUAAUACCGCAUACGACCUGAGGGUGAAAGCGGGGGACUCGCAAGAGCCUCGCGCAAUUGGAGCUGACGAGGUCGGAUUAGGUAGUUGGUGGGGUAAAGGCCUACCAAGCCGACGAUCUGUAGCUGGUCUGAGAGGACGACCAGCCACACUGGGACUGAGACACGGCCCAGACUCCUACGGGAGGCAGCAGUGGGGAAUUUUGGACAAUGGACGCAAGUCUGAUCCAGCCAUGCCGCGUGCAGGAAGAAGGCCUUCGGGUUGUAAACUGCUUUUGUCAGGGAAGAAAUCCCUUGGGUUAAUACCUCGGGGGGAUGACGGUACCUGAAGAAUAAGCACCGGCUAACUACGUGCCAGCAGCCGCAGUAAAAC
rnacentral:rRNA from 1 species